GAAGCAGGCAGAGCCGAACACGCCGUCGCCAUGGCAACAGGGCACGCGCGACGACGUGCGCGCGCACGACGUGACGACAUUAAUGCUCGACGUUCCAGAAUAUACGCGGUCGGAGCGGACGGCGUGCACAACAUGUCCAAGGAAAGGGGGAAGCGCAAGUCCAAAAUGGCCAGCUGCGGUGGUCUCCACGCCCCUCCUGAGAAGCUCAUGAAGCUGUCCGUGUUGCUGGAGGACUGCAGCACCAUCCUGGGCCUGAACGGGACCUUCACCUUGCAGGAGCAGGGGGCCCGAGCGGGUCGAGUUGCGAGCAAGUGGCAGGGAAAGGAAAUGCGCUCACACAAGACGGCCAACAAGACGAGCCCGUCGCCACGACGGAAACAUUCCGUUACCCUGGAGGACAUUUGGAGGGAAAUGAGUGAGAUGACCGCCGCGAUCUGUGACUUGAAAAGGCUGGUGGCCGAAAACGGCCACGCCAUCGGCCAGCUGCAGGAGAAGUUGGACGGUGUGGUGGGGGGCGGACCGGCUCGGCACCCCGCAGCUGACGACGUCCCGCUCGAGCCGCCGCCGGCAAUAAUCCCACAGAUUCACCAAGAUUUGGGAGAGGAUGUUCAGAGCGAGAUGGCACCUACUGAUGAUAUUAGUCGCGACGAGGAUGGGGACUCCGCGAUGGGGACUCCAAGCGUCAUUGACGAAGCCGUGAAGUGCUCUGGAGAAAGCCAGGGCGCAGAGGACGUUUUAAAUGCCUGUAACAAGGGUGUUGAAGACCUAAAGGAUGAGGAGAACCCCAACAACAACGAAAUGGAGAAAAAGGUUGAUGAGCAGACAUAAUGGGCUCGGCGGUGGGAAUGGACCGGAUCAGAGCGCUGCAUCUGAUGAAGAGUGCGAGGAUGACGAGCAGCAGCAGUGUGUGUGUGUGUGUGUGUGUGUGUGUGUGGAUGGACUUUUACACUGAGACACGGUACUUACAGUUUCAAGUUAAUGUUGACGUUUUGCACUGUGUUUAAUGUUUUAAUGAAAUUUAUACAGGCGUAUUUAGUUUAGACGUUCUAUUUUCACCACGCUCCUGAGGAAAUAAGCGGUAUUCUGAGUUAGACGUGUCCCUUUUUUUUUUUCGAUGGUUUUAAUUGAAUAUCUUUUCCAGUCUUGGCACAUAUUGAAUUAAAUUAAAAUGCUUAAACAGCCAGAUUUCUUGUUAUUUGUUACAAAUGUUCUUCAGAUAAUCUAGUAUAACGGUCGGCCAUUUUGGGAGAUCAUGGCUGGCCAGGAAGUAGGCAGAAAUCAGGAGUGGUGGUAAAGGCGACGUGCACAGUGUCAAGGUUCUUGCCUCCUUCUGGAACCAGGUCGGCAUGGUGGACAAUUAGCGUGACUGCGUGGUUGAUCCAAUUUUUCCUAUUAAUAAUCUGAGAAGUCUUAUUCAUUUGGGAUUAAUUUCCCAUGAGAUCAAAACCAUCCAUCUAAUAGGCUUUGAAUUGCAUUUAAAUUUACAGCAUUUACCAGACGCCCUUAUCCAGAGCGACUUACUAUCAGUAGUGACAGGGACAGUCCCCCCCCUGGAGACACUCAGGGUUGAGUGUCUUGCUCAGGGACACAAUGGUAGUAAGUGGGGUUCGAACCUGGUUCUUCUGGUUCACAGGCGAGUGUGUUAGCCGCUAGGCUACUAGCGGGUAGCCUAGUGGUUUAUUGCAUAAACCUACCCCCCUCCUGCAGCCUGCCCUCGCCCCGCCCAGAC
rnacentral:lncRNA from 1 species